rnacentral:hammerhead_ribozyme from 1 species
AUCCAGAUUAUUAGUCCUAAAUAGGACGAAAUGCGCAUGCUGGAU